UAGCGCCGCUGCCUGGUGACGCUGCGGGAUGAUUGGUUCCUCCCAGUUCCAGAUGAUUCAUGAAGACGCCCACGUUUACUACAGCUGGUUCUCCUCUGCAGCUCCAGGAGCACAGUGGUUUGAUAUGAAGUCAUUUUAAAAACAUGGAUCUGCAGCUUUUAUUUGUUCUAAAGUUUGUUCCUGUUCUCCCCAGUUUAACCUCACCGGACCAGAUGAGGCAGAUGUCUGACCUCCCCAAGCCUGGUUCUACUAGAGUCUUCCGGCAGACACUAACCUUCAGGGAACAUUCACUGAAGAGGUGCAGCAAAUGUUCCCCAGACAUUCAGCAAAAGCUCACGGAAUGUUCCCUGAAGGUAAUAGUGGUUAUUAGAAUGUUCUCUGAAGGUUGUUGUUGUUCCUACAAUGUUUCCUUGAGGUUACUGUUGUUAUUAGAAAGUUCCCUUAAGGUUACUGAUGUUCCUACAAUAUUCCCUCAAGGUGAUUGUUAUCAGAAUGUUCCCUGAAGGUUAUUGUUGUUCCUACAAUGUUCCCUUAAGAUUUCUGUUUUUCCUACAAUAUUCCCUUAAGGUUACCGUUGUUAUUAGAAUGUUCCCUGAAGGUUCUUGUUGUUCCUAUGAUUUUCUCCAAAGGUUAUUUUUGUUCCUACGAUGUUCUCCAAAGGUUACUGUUGUUCCUAGAAUGUUCCCUAAUGGUUCAACAAUAGUUUCCAAAGUGUGUUCACUAUUGUACAUUCUCUGAAUGUUCUGCUGAAUGCCACUGAAUGUUUUCUGAAAGCUCUAUACAAGGGAACUUCAGGGAACAUUCAAUAAAGAGAUGCAGCAGAUGUUCCCCAGAUCUUCAUGGAAUGUUCCUUGAAAGCACUGUUGUUCCUAGAAUGUUUCCUGAACGUUCUAUAACAGUAGGCUCCAAGGUGGGUUCACUGUCAAGGUGCAGCAAAUGUUUCCUGCAGCUUCACCAAAGGUUAUUCAAUGUUACCUAAAUAUUCUGUUAAAGCUUGUUUUCAUUUACAACAAUAACCUUAAGGGAACAUUUGCUAAGGAGGUGGGGCAAAUGUUCUCUAGACCGUCACUGAAUGUUUCUCCCAAACGUUCUGCUAAAGGUUGCGGUUGUAGAACCUUCAGAGAACAGAAGAACCUUCAAAUUUUUUUGGAAACAUUUGACAAAGCGGUGAAGUGCAGUAACACUAAAAUAAGCUAAUAAAAAUAAAACUUGCUCCUUGGA